rnacentral:rRNA from 1 species
GAACGCUGGCGGCGUGCCUAACACAUGCAAGUCGAGCGAGAAGCUGAUGACUGAUUCUUCGGAUGAGAGAUUCAGUGGAAAGCGGCGGACGGGUGAGUAACGCGUAGGCAACCUGCCCUUUGCAGAGGGAUAGCCAUUGGAAACGAUGAUUAAAACCUCAUAAUACCUUUUUCCUGCAUAGGAGAGAGGUCAAAGAUUUAUCGGCAAAGGAUGGGCCUGCGUCUGAUUAGCUAGUUGGUGAGGUAACAGCCCACCAAGGCGACGAUCAGUAGCCGGACUGAGAGGUUGAACGGCCACAUUGGGACUGAGAUACGGCCCAGACUCCUACGGGAGGCAGCAGUGGGGAAUAUUGGGCAAUGGGCGCAAGCCUGACCCAGCAACGCCGCGUGAAGGAAGAAGGCUUUCGGGUUGUAAACUUCUUUUGUCAGGGAAGAUGAACAGACUGUACCUGACGAAUAAGCCACGGCUAACUACGUG